rnacentral:lncRNA from 1 species
CAAGGAACGUGUAUAUGUAUCUAUAUAUUUCCCAAGGAGGAUACUAAAUUGAGUUGGGGAUCUAAGAGAAUAGACCUUGCUUCUGCACUGGCUUCAUAACCCAUAUUUGGCAACCUCGAUUACUGACUAAUGCACAGAAGAGCCUUGAUUUUAACAGCAAAAAUUCAAAUUCACGCGCAGUCUUUAAGCGAACUGGAUUAUCAUACGAAUAGAUUAUUUUUAACUUUACCCCUUAAUAAUAAAACCAGAAUAAUUUUACAUCUUCCAAGAAAAGGUAUAGCGUGACACCACGUGACAUGUAUAUAAUGUUAGCAUUUGUUCAUUUCAAUUCUCUGUUUCAGGCAGCAAGCGCUCGUGCAGAAAUAAACCACUACAUAGAUUUCAAUGAUCACGUAAUCAUACCGUACUCUCAAGAAUGACUAUUUACAAUUACAAAACACUUUGUUUUGUUAAAAACAAAAUUAAUGGGUUUACGAAGAGAGCAGAGUCUAAUCAAAAUCAUAUAGAUUUCAAGAAUAUAAAAAAGUUUUGUCUUGAAGAAUACCUUUCGUAAGUAGUGCUAUCUAGUUCACAUCAGACCAACUUGGGGAUGGUGGCUCCCGUUGGAAUUCCUCCCUUUCCUUUCUUUUCUUUUCUUUUCUUUUCUUUUUUUUUUCUUUUUUUUUUUCCCAA